UGCAAACACCAGUAAGUUAUAUUAUAGUUUCCAAAUUUAUAAACGGUAUCUUUACAUUGUGUAUAAGGUACACGCCCGGAUUUUUUUUCCUCAAUCGAUUUAUGACUCGAGAACACCGGUAUACUACUAUUGCCUUACAGCAAUGGACAAGAAUUUAAUCAAUACUUUUGAAUGGUUUUGUUUUUAUAGUUUAUGCAAACAUAAGCAGUCAUGGAUGACGAUUAAAAUACAAUACAUCAUAUUUAUCUAGAUUCCUUUUGAUAUAAAACAUAGAUCAAAAGUUUAACAUGCAAAUAUAGAUAAAUACCGACCUAUUGUUGAAACUUCACAAUGUUAUUCUCAUAUUGUAGGAGCAGUAUGUGUGCCUUCAUGAUGCAUUACUUGAGGCGUUUACGAUGAAGGACACAAACGUAGGAAAGGAAGAAUUCGGAACCAUCUGGCAGAAAAUUGUGUCAGACAAAAGUCCUGCUAACAGACAACGUCUUCGUGAAGAGUUUAAGGUACACUGAAAUAUAGAUAAUGUUUUUGCAAUAUUUUAAUACUCGCAGUUGUAGAUGAAUCAGUAUGAUGUAAGAACACUACAAUAUAAAAAAGAAGAUGUGGUAUGAUUGCCAAUGAGACAACUAUCCACAAAAGACCAAAAUUACACAAACAUUAACAACUAUAGGUCACCGUACGGCCUUCAACCAUGAGCAAAGCCCAUACCGCACAGUCAGCUAUAAAAGGCCCCGAUAAGACAAUGUAAAACAAUUCAAACGAGAAAACUAUGGCCUUAUGUAUGUAAAAAAAAUUGAAUGCUUGUUAGAAAGCGAAAAAAGUUUGUCCUCCUUGUUGACAAUUUUUGGGGACACAAACACUUUUUUUACCUUACACCAAGACCAGGUCUGUUAAUUUCCUUUUUAAUAAUAUUGAAGUUAUACGUAUAUAUGGAUAUCAUAGGAAGACGUGGUUUGAGUGCCAAUGAGACAACUGUUCAUCCAAGUAACAAUUUAUAAAAGUAAACCAUUAUAUGUCAAGGUACCACCUUCAACGCGGAGCUUUGGCUCACACCGAACAAAAAGCUAUAAGGGGAGUAUAAAUUACUAGUGAAAAACUAUUCAAACGGGAACCCCAAUGGUGUAAUUUAUAUAAAAACGAUAAACGAAAAACACUUAUGAACCACAUAAACAGACGACAACCACGGAAACCCAGAUUCCUUACCUAAGACAGGAGAUUAAACGUUUUAAUGGUACAAAACCUUUUCCCUUUUCUGCAACAGUAGUAUAACAACAUCGAAAGACACACUACAAACAAAAAUUGGAAUGACAUAGGAUUUACAAUACAAAUCCUUGCUUAACUCAAUCAAAAAAUGUAGUAACACAAAUACCUUACAUUUCAUAAUGGACAAUUAUCAAGUGUCACGUAUUUCAUUCUUAUGAUCUAAUAUGAACAGUUAAAUCUUAUCCUUAUAUUGUAGAUGCUGGAAGCUAAGAAAUCUGAGCAUGAUAAGGCCCAAUAUGUUGCUGCUAAAAGCCCUGAAAAUGUCAAAAAGAACAGAAUAAAUAGUGUCAUUCCUAGUAGGUUUGCCAAUUUAGAUUUAUAUUGUACUGUUUUAUUCGUGUUACGAUAGGACUUUUCACUGUUUUUACGACUGAAAUUUGUAGUUUCUGUAAAAUUCUUUGAAAUACAUUUCCCUUUAGUUCCUGAUGUUGAUAUUAAGGUAAAAUAUGAUACAUUAGAAUACCUGUAGUCCAGUUCAUUAAGUCUUUCCUACUUUUAAGUUUUUGAAUGUGUAUUAUGUAGUAUUUUAGUCAAAGUUAAUUUAACAAGUUUAUUUUUACUUAAUUACAUCUGUAAAUCAGAAUGAGAUGAGUAAAAAAUUGUAUUUCUAUAGAUAAAUGUGCGAAAAAAGGCAAUUGUCUUUGUAGAACUCCUUGGCUUUUACUUUGUUUGUCGACCAAUUAAACCGAAUCUGAAACAUUUGUGAAACAAGCUCCUGUAAGUAAACCGGUGAUUAACUGUUGUGUUCAAAUUAAAUGUUAAAACUAUAAUAAUAAGCACAUCAUGGCAAUAUUAUCUUCUUUUAAAGCGGACAACAACAGACUAUUUCUAACUUCAUAUGAAAAAGGACGAACUGAUUAUAUCAACGCUGUACAAGCUCCAGUAUGUAUGAUUGUUUAAGUAGCAUUUUUCACUUCUAUUACUUUUCUAUCUUUGUAAGUAUUAUCUUGUUUACAUUAUGUUGGAUAAUAAUAAUCGCUAAAAACUUAAACACCGACUAAAAAUGUGGAUAUUGUUAUAUCAAUAAAAGGUGAUGCUAUACACGCUUCUCAACUUCAGGAAAGUUCCUCAUUCUUACGUACAUCUGAUUCCUGGGCCAGCUGGUUUCGCUUUAUAUUUAGUAAUCAACGAUACAUCACCAACAUGUAUAUAAGACUUUUGAUUUUCAGCAUCACCAAAAAAUCACCAAAUGUCAAAACGGGUAUCGGAUGCAGUUGAGUUAGUGUCAUUUUAUGUAAUUACAUUUUUUCAAAAUUUCCAUGCAGAUUGAUAACUUUCCAACACAUAAAUACAUUCGAUCUGAGUAUUUUUAGUACGAUUAUCGUGUUUGAGUAUCAAAAAUCAUCUUUGAGGUAAUUUGUUUUAUAUUUUAUCAAUUUAACAUAUUAUUCUUUUAACCUACAGUCAUAUACAAAGUUCAUUGGAUAUUUAACAACACAGCUACCACUACUUGACACAAAAGUUGACUUUUGGACUAUGGUUAGAGAUCACAAUUCUUCUACAAUAGUCGUGUUUCUAAAUGACCAAACAGAGGUACAUUUUUUUAUUAAUUAUUUCUGUUUCUAUCAAUCAUUAACAAUUUUUUAUCUCGUGCCUGCAUUUUUCUUGCAUUGUUUGAUUUAAUUAAAGAAAUUUGAAAGACCCUACUUUACUUGGUGCUUUUGUGAUCUUUAAAGUUUAUGAUCAAUGGAUUUUGUGAUCUCAACAACGUAUUCAAAAGAUGAAGAGCUUAUAAACCAAAAAGAUAUAUAGGUCACUAUAAGGACUCCAGCCAUGACAAAAUCUAUACUGUAUAGUCUCCAAUAAAAAUUCACGAUAUGAUAAAACGUUUAAAAAAUAUUUAUACGACAAAAGCAAACAAACAAGCAUUUACGACAAAGCUACUAACGAAAUUAAAUAUGACAAACAGCACCAAAGGGCAACCAUCGAAAUACAGGCUUUGGAAUUUGUAAUGGAAUAUAACAAUUGCGUGGGUUUAAACGUGUUUCUCAGCACUAACUCCUUCUCCUAUCAAAUGCAUUUGUAAGAAAUUAGUGCUUUUCAAUUGUCAUGACAUUUUCAAAUCUUAAAAGAAUAUUUAAAUCUGUUUAUAAGAUAAAUUUAUUCAGGCUGACUUAGUUUACUCAACGUCCAAGGACUCAUUUACAUGUGGAAAAUAUAACUUGACGAUAUCAAAUAGAGGAAAAGAAGAUAUGGAUAUUACAAGUUGUAAAGUCGUCCUAUCCAAGAAGG
rnacentral:lncRNA from 1 species